CCGCUGAACUUAAGCAUAUCAAUAAGCGGAGGAAAAGAAACUAACAAGGAUUCCCCUAGUAACUGCGAGUGAAGCGGGAAAAGCUCAAAUUUAAAAUCUGGCGGUCUCUGGCCGUCCGAGUUGUAAUCUAGAGAAGUAAUGCCCGUGCUGGACCGUGUAUAAGUCUCCUGGGAUGGGGCGUCAUAGAGGGUGAGAAUCCCGUCUUUGACACGGACUACCAGUGCAUUGUGGUAUGCUCUCAAAGAGUCGAGUUGUUUGGGAAUGCAGCUCAAAAUGGGUGGUAAAUUCCAUCUAAAGCUAAAUACUGGCGAGAGACCGAUAGCGAACAAGUACCGUGAGGGAAAGAUGAAAAGAACUUUGGAAAGAGAGUUAAACAGUACGUGAAAUUGCUGAAAGGGAAACGCUUGAAGUCAGUCGCGUUGGCCGGGGAUCAGCCUUGCUUCUGCAUGGUGUACUUUCUGGUUGACGGGUCAGCAUCAAUUUUGACCACUGGAAAAGGUUCAGGGGAAUGUGGCAGCUUCGGCUGUGUUAUAGCCCUUGUUCAUAUACAGUGGUUGGGAUUGUGGAACUCAGCACGCCGCAAGGCCGGGUUUCGACCACGUUCGUGCUUAGGAUGCUGGCAUAAUGGCUUUAAGCGACCCGUCUUGAAACACGG
rnacentral:rRNA from 1 species